rnacentral:rRNA from 1 species
CCUACGGGUGGCAGCAGUGGGGAAUCUUGCACAAUGGGGGAAACCCUGAUGCAGCAACGCCGCGUGAAGGAAGACGGUUUUCGGAUUGUAAACUUCUGUUCUUAGUGAAGAAUAAUGACGGUAGCUAAGGAGCAAGCCACGGCUAACUACGUACCAGCAGCCGCGGUAAUACGUAGGUGGCAAGCGUUGUCCGGAAUUACUGGGUGUAAAGGGUGCGCAGGCGGGAAGCCAAGUCAGCUGUGAAAACUACGGGCUUAACUUGUAGACUGCAGUCGAAAAUGGUUAGCUUGAGUGAAGUAGAGGUUAGCGGAAUUUCGAGUGUAGCGGUGAAAUGCGUAGAUAUUCGGAGGAACACCGGUGGCGAAGGCGGGCAACUGGGCUUUAACUGACGCUGAGGCUCGAAAGUGUAGGGAGCAAACAGGAUUAGAUACCCUUGUAGUC